rnacentral:lncRNA from 1 species
UUUAAAGAAAAGUUAUCUUAACCAUUGAGAAGCCUUCCUUCCUCAGAGGAGAGCACCUCCCCAGCAGACCUCCGAGGAGACCAAGGGCAGGACAGGAAGGGUGAAAGGAAGUUUCAGGACUGCAGGAAAUAAGAGCUUGGAGGUCAAGGGAGAGAUCAGAUAAAACAUGAAUCUGAUCAGCAUCCUAGUGGUCUAGAGUGGAGACAAUCUGCGGAGUCAACCUCAGUAAGGACACACAUAGAGAAGAACCAAAGCCUCUAAAGACGAAGCUGAGAAGUGUACGGUCGUAGAAGACUCGUGUCUGUUAUUCUUAAAAGCUCAAGGAGAUGUUCUGCCAAUUGAAUGGAAACUGUCCAUAGUGGGGAGCAGAGAGCCUCAUCUUUUCUGGAACUGAACAUCCAUCCUUAAGGCCAGAUUUCUCCCAUCACCAACUUUAACUCCUGCCCUAGCCCUCUCUCUUCCUUUUCAAAACCCUCUCCACCCAGGAAGGGAGAUUCUGGAGCCAAGACUGUACCAGCCACACCUCCCCAGAGUUGUUAAGGAAGGAACUCGAAGCCAGGGGUGGUCUUCUGGCAAGCACCCCCACUACCAGUAGCAGGACAGAUGUGUUUCUAAUGGACUACACUAUCCCCGGAGGUCACAUGAUUCAGGCUGCCAAGGGUACCUGCCCUUGGGAAAUCAACUCCCGAAGAUAAAUUGGGAUUGGGUCCUGAGAAGAUCCAUGGAAGCCCAGAGGACCCUGCCUCUCUCUGUUGCUUCAUGCUGUAGAGGCAGUACUGGGGAGGGCCUGCCCCACAUCCGGCAGGGCAGCUGGAACCAUGUGUUUGAUGACACUCUGCUCCCUCAAUGUGGAGCCUCAUCCUCAUCUCACAGUCUAGCAGGCCUCUGGUGGGUUAGGCUUGUCUCACCCAGUGUGUGAGUUUUUUUGGAAGUGACCUGAUUUUGGAGUUUCCCUCCAAGCCUUUCUCAGGUACAUGCUUUCUCUUUUAUUCUGUCUUCUUUUUUUGAUCUUCUUAAAUCUGAUUUUCUCCUUUUUCCCUCUCUUGUCUCCAUCUUUUUUCCAGUCUCUCGCUUCUCUUUAUUUCUCCCCAUAUUUCACUCUGUUCUCUCACCCCAACCUUUCCCUUCUGUUUCUCUCCCUCCCUCUCUUCCCACCCCCUGCCUGGCCUUCCAUAUAUCAAGCAGAGUUUUAUCACCUUAUGCAGGGGCAGCCCUGCCACCUGCCAUAAAGUUGAUAGGCUAAUGACAUUUUGUGGAUAUUGCCAUGUCACAAGUCCAGGACAGCAUCAAAAAUAGCCCUGAUGUCUAAACCACUUCAGCUAUCUUUUUUAUUUUUAAAAUAAAUACAUUCACAUGCUUUUAAGAAACUAUAAAAAUAUAUAAAGUAAAAAGAUCUUUCUCUCACACUGUCUCCACCUCUCCUGGUCUCACCGUUGUGCUUAGGGGAAACCAUUGUGAUUAGUUUCUCCUGUGUCCUUCCAGAGUGUCUUUAUGCAAAUGAAAAUUAUUGUGAUAAUAUAUUCCUAUUUUCCCCCUUACUACACAAAAGAUAGACUACCAUAAUCCCAUUCUGCACUUUUUUUUCACUUGAUAAUAAAAACAUGAUUUUAUUAA